rnacentral:lncRNA from 1 species
AGAACUUGUGAUUUUUGGGAUUGGGCACAUCCAUUAAACUUAAAUUCAUGUGAAAAUGGGACCAAAGUCUUAGAGGUUCAUAUGAAACUUGAACAAUUGAACUCAAACAUGGAGAAGGAACACAAGAAAUUCAGCAAGGUUUUAAAGGAUACUGGAGAUGAUGUCAAAGACAUAAAAAAUCUUUUGAGGUUUUUCAAGUUUAUUUCCAUUGUUAUUGUCUCUAUGUUGUUGCUAAUUUUUUGUUUCUUUAAGUAAUUUGUUGUAGUUUGUGUAAGAUGUUUCAGACACUUAUGUGCUCACUUUUUUAAGUUGUAAUGGUGUUGUAUUUCUUCAAUUUCUGCCGUAGUAACUGAUGUACUAAUUUGAGAAUUUGAAUCAUAC